CAAUUGAGUGAACAACAUUAACUUCUUCCAUUGUGAUAUUUAUGUAUCUUUUACCUGUCAGGUCGAAAAAUCCCAGCGAUGAAUGGCAGCCAUAUGGCAACAUAUAGAGCUAAGCCAAGUCUCUGGAACAGAGCUGGAAAAGAGAGACAACACCAGCAAAGACUUCUUGAACUUAACUUGUUAAGCUCUUCAGGUACAUUAUAUUUUUCUAUUUAACUGCAAUGACCAAUUGAACAACGCAAAACAAAUAUUUCCUUUCUAAGAAGCCUUAAUCAUCAUCGAUUCUGCAAAAAAGCCAAAGUGAAAUGCUAACUUUAGACAAAUUAACAAUGUUUGGCAUAUAUAAACUAUAGUAUUGUGUAUAUAUUUUUAUAGUGGGAAAUAAGCUGUGAUUUCAACCUAGUAGGGACCUUAUGACAGGCUUUUUUUCUUUUUAAUGGUGAGAAUGUGGUAUGACAGAGCACAACAAAGUCAGAGUGGGAAUUUUUUUUCAAAAAAAAUAUCAAGUAUAUUUGACAAUAUAUAUGUAUAAGUUUAGUCUUUA